CCGCUCACUUCGGCAGCACAUAUACUAAAAUUAGAAUGAUACAGAGAUUAGCAUGGCCCCUGCUCAAGGAUGACAUGCAAACUCAUGAAGUAUUCCGUAUUUUU
rnacentral:snRNA from 1 species